GAUGAACGCUGGCGGUAUGCCUAACACAUGCAAGUCGUACGAGAGUUUUUAACUCUAGUGGCGGACGGGUGAGUAACACGUGAGAAUUUGCCUUUAGGAGGGGGACAACAAUCGGAAACGAAUGCUAAUACCCCAUAUGCUUUCGAGUGAAAUGGAUUUUAUCCGCCUAGAGAGAAGCUCGCGGCUGAUUAGCUUGUUGGUAAGGUAAGAGCUUACCAAGGCGACGAUCAGUAUCUGGUUUGAGAGGAUGAUCAGACACACUGGAACUGAGACACGGUCCAGACUCCUACGGGAGGCAGCAGUGGGGAAUUUUCCGCAAUGGGCGAAAGCCUGACGGAGCAAUACCGCGUGAGGGAAGAAAGCCUACUGGGUUGUAAACCUCUUUUUUCAGGGAGGAAAAAAAUGACGUGUACCUGAAGAAUAAGCAUCGGCUAACUCCGUGCCAGCAGCCGCGGUAAUGUGACUACUG
rnacentral:rRNA from 1 species